CACUCGCUGACACGGUGGCGGAGGGGACUCAUAAUCCCUUGGCCGUCGGUUCGAGCCCGACCCGGCCAACCA
rnacentral:tRNA from 2 species